UUCCCAUUAUGGCUUAUAAAACUUAAAUAUUUUAGUGUGUAAAUAAAGUAAUUUUGUAAAUAAAAUCUUAUAAUUAAAAUUAGUUUUUUUAUAGUUUUAUAACUUCAAAAUAAUCGAUGUGGAUCUCAUAUGAUUUAACUUGUUUUCUUUAAAUAUUUAGUUUUUCUUACUCGUCAAAAAUAAAUAGUUUAAUUAUUUUUAUAAUCAAUUAAAAUUUGUGAAAUCAUGACGCGUCUAUUAGUAUUUACAUAGAUUAAAUACAUGUGUAUUUAAUCUAUGGUAUUUACAGUGAGGCUGGUGCUAAACUAUAGUUUUUAUACUACAUAAAAUAAACGUGUGUCGUUAUCAAUAUAAUCGAAUGCAUCAAAAAGUAAGGCAGGUACACAACCGGUUUUGUUAUCGACUAUAACACGACGAAAAUACUCCCAAUAAUGGACACUCACACUAAUAAUAAUUUAUUUCUCACACAACGACACUGCGUAACAUGUAAAAACUGCAAAAUUGAGGAUAUUCUGAAUAAUGGCUAGUAAUGAAUGCCCAAAAAGAUAAGUUCAACAGAUAAAGCAGGACUUAUUAAAUUGUUUGGUUACAAGUAAAUGGGUAAAUAAUGAAAUCGUAGACGUGAGUAAGUUUACUUUUCUACAUACACCCAAAGAAAAACCUCAAUCAAUUUUGAUAGAGAAAUUUUAUCAAGGGUUUAUGAUAAUGUUUUAUUAAUACGAACAAAAUAACUAUUCUUAUAAAUAAUUAUUGUUCAAGACAAGAAUAAAAAAUAUUAUAUUGAUAAAUAUAUCAUAGGUUCAAUAGUAAUGAUAUAUUUAUCAAAUUGAACAAUGAGUUUAUUAUAUAGAUCGAGGUUUUUCUCUGGGUGUCGUGUAGUAUAUAUGAAUAUAGGGGCAUCUAUUGAAGAUGAUAAAUUCAAUAUGAUUUCAAAAACACUUAUUAAUACAAUUUCAAAAAUGUGAUGUAUACACGGUAAAUAAAAAAUAUCACACCCCAACAUUUGCUACAAUAAUAUGCAGUUAAACCCCAUUUUUGAAUUGCUGCAAAGAUAGCUGCUGCUUGACCUUCCCCGAACCAGAAGAAAUUUCAGGCAUAUCAAAUGUAUUGAGACUAAAUGAUUCUGCAGUUGCUAUUAAUAUAAGAACAGCGUCUCUGUCGCUAAUUUUGCACUCAUCAAAUGCAGUGACCAGUUUAUCAGUUAAUAUAUUCUUUUUAACUCUAAAAUUGGAAAUAAUAGUUUUUUCAAUUAAUUCUUCAAUCACAUCAAACUCGCUAGAACUGUUUGAAGACGAACACAACAUUUCUGAGUUAACUACUUAACCUAAACUAAAUAUGAUGGAAAAGAAAUUGGACGGAUUUGGAAUCAGCGUCGAAAUGCCAUAAAGAAUUUACUAAAAUAUUGUACAAUAUUAUAGAACACUUUUUUAAUAUUUAUUAUAUAAUUCUUAUAUAAUUUUUACAAAAUAAAUAUUUUUAAUUAAAUAAAGUACAUUUAGUAAUAAUGCUCCAUCUUGAUGUGUU